rnacentral:rRNA from 1 species
CCUACGGGAGGCAGCAGUGAGGAAUAUUGGUCAAUGGGCGAAAGUCUGAACCAGCCAAGUCGCGUGAGGGAGUACUGCCCUAUGGGUUGUAAACCUCUUUUGUCUGGGAGUAAAAGCCGGACGUGUCCGGCUGUGAGAGUACUCGAAGAAAAAGCAUCGGCUAACUCCGUGCCAGCAGCCGCGGGAAUAAGGAGGAAGCGAGCGUUAUCCGGCAUUAUUGGGUUUAAAGGGGGCGCAGGGCGGAUUUUUAGUUAGGCGGGAAAUUCUGGGGGUCAACAUCGUUACGGCCGUUGAAACUGGGGAUCUAGAGUGUACGAGAGGUAGGCGGAAUGCAUGGUGUAGCGGUGAAAUGCUUAGAUAUCACGCAGAACCCCGAUUGCGAAGGCAGCAUACCGGUGCACAACUGACGCUGAGGCACGAAAGCGUGGGUAUCGAACAGGAUUAGAUACCCUAGUAGUC